GUAGCAGGGUGGGAGGGAGCUACGGCUGGUGGCUGAUUCUCUGGGGUGACUGGGCAUGGGUUAUGGGAAUGGAGGAUGAUGUCCCUCAUCGGUUCCCAGAGAGUUGCCUCACUAGCACCCUGGAGCCUGUGAAUAGUGUUUAAAUCAAUGGUCAAAGUGAAGAGGGCAGCUUAGUCCUCAUUACUCCCCAGGACUAAUUGACCUCUUCUGAAAAGGUACAUUCUUGAUUUGGUGAGACUCUUCCUCAUCCGGAAAGAGGAGAACAAAGGCAUCACCAUCCUGAGAGUGUUUGUGAAGGACUCAUACAGACCGAACACUGCGCAGAGCCUGAUGACCUUUUCCUGCCCUGGAGAUUCUCAGUUUUGUCAUUUUGAUGAAUCUCUAAGUUGUGUUCACUUUUUGUAGGCUCCUACCAGUGAAAGCCUCCUCACAACUCUCUUCUUCUCCCCAAGGGUGAUUGCUGAGUUCUGGAGACAGACUGGGCUUCUGCUUUCUUUUGGUGGAGGUGUCUGCUUGCAGAAAAUUUAUGUUCUGGGAUUUACAACUUCAGGGAGACAAAGGAAACUCCAGCUCAUCUCCCACAUCAUUGAUUGAGAGGACCAUUUUCUGACUGUCUGCACACGGAUGGGCAUUUGAAUUAUUUCCAGUUUUUGGCUAUUAUGAAAAAAACUGCUAUGAACAUUCAUACACAAGUGUGUGUGUGGACCCAUGUUUUCACUGAUCAAGGCCUAAAUACCUACGGUAAGUAUACAUUUAACCUUAUAAGAAAAUGCAAAACUAUUUUUCCAAAGUAGUAUCAUUUUACAUUUCUUCUAACAACAUAUGAGAAUGGCAGUUGCUCUACUAAUAUGGUUUGGCUUUGUGUCCCCACC
rnacentral:lncRNA from 1 species